GCGACAGAUUCUCCAUAGACUGUAACCAAUGCAUGUGCCGACUACCUGGUAUUGCGUGUACCCGCAAGGAAUGUCCAGGGAAUCCACAGGGCUGUUACCACGACGGGAAGUUCUAUCGGCUCGGAGAUUUGAUGCCUUCACCUGAUUGCAACAGCUGUUUCUGUGACGGCAGAGCUCGGGACUGUGGUAGGAGGGUGUGUCCAAGAGAUGACGAAAACUAGACAGGACACGAUGUCGCUUAGCUCCUCUUUACCUCGUGUCUCGGAUAACAAGCGCUGCUACUGAACAGAAAAAAAAUGUAAAAUAAUUCAAUUACAUCACGUGUCUAAAUAGAAUUGUUUUA